GACGAACGCUGGCGGCGUGCUUAACACAUGCAAGUCGAACGGAAAGGCCCUGCUUUUGUUGCGUGCUCGAGUGGCGAACGGGUGAGUAACACGUGAGUAACCUGUCCUUGACUUUGGGAUAACGUCAGGAAACUGGGGCUAAUAACGGAUAGGAGCUCCUGCUGCAUGGUGGGGGUUGGAAAGUUUCGGCGGUUGGGGAUGGACUCGCGGCUUAUCAGCUUGUUGGUGGGGUAGUGGCUUACCAAGGCUUUGACGGGUAGCCGGCCUGAGAGGGUGACCGGCCACAAUGGGACUGAGAUACGGCCCAGACUCCUACGGGAGGCAGCAGUGGGGAAUAUUGCACAAUGGGCGGAAGCCUGAUGCAGCAACGCCGCGUGCGGGAUGACGGCCUUCGGGUUGUAAACCGCUUUCGCCUGUGACGAAGCGUGAGUGACGGUAACGGGUAAAGAAGCACCGGCUAACUACGUG
rnacentral:rRNA from 1 species